rnacentral:rRNA from 1 species
GACGAACGCUGGCGGCGUGCUUAACACAUGCAAGUCGAACGAAGAGCGACGGAAGCUUGCUUCUAUCAAUCUUAGUGGCGAACGGGUGAGGAACGCGUAAUCAACCUGCCCUUCAGAGGGGGACAACAGUUGGAAACGACUGCUAAUAUCGCAUACGAUCUAACCUCGGCAUCGAGGAUAGAUGAAAGGUGGCCCCUACAUGUAAGCUAGCACUGAAGGAGGGGACUGCGUCUGAUUAGCUAGUUGGGGGGGUAACGGCCCACCAAGGCGAUGAUGAGUAGCAGGUCUGAGGGGAUGGACGGCCGCAUUCGGACUGGGACCCGGCCCAGACUCCUGCGGGAGGCAGCCAUGGGGGAUCUUCCGCAAGGGACGAAAGGCUGACGGAGCCACGCCGCGGGAGGGGUGACGGCCUUCGGGUUGUGAAGCUCUGUUAAUCGGGAGGAAAGGCCUUCUUGCGCAUAGUGAGAGGGAUUGACGGUACCGGAAUAGAAAGCCACGGCUAACUACGUG